rnacentral:rRNA from 1 species
GACAUUUGGUAGGGACUGUUGAAGCCACCUGGUCCCAGCAGACCCCAGAAAAUGGCCACAUUCGCUGGUGCUGGAACAAGGCUGUUAAGGGCGAAGUCUGGUGCCAGGUGUGU